GUUUUCGCAGUGUCUAGUCUUUUUUUGAGAAAAUUGUAUAUAGAAUAUAGACGUAGGGCAAGCGACGCCCACGAUGACGCCGAAGCAGGGGUUAGCUGCGCGAAAAUGUCAGACCACUAGUCGUUUUACGAUACACCCACGCUCGAAAAACUAGGACAAAGUCGAUUCAUUCAUUCCUCUGAUUCAUAGAUGUAAAAGAGUUCAAGACAGAAGGGGGUGUGUAAUACACAGACUUCCUCAAUCCAUAAACAAAAUUGAAGCGAUACAAUCUCAUGAGAGAUUGACUCCUGGAAAAUGUUACCGGUCCGACUUCAAAGUAUUUCCAAAAUUUAAUUAUUUUCGUGUUCUCAAUAUUCGGCUAAGAGUGGGGCCUGGCGGGUUGAAUCGCGGGGUCGAUGAAAAGUGCGAUUGAUUAAUUUAUUAAUUGACUUUCGCAAUUCAUCGACACGGGAUCAACAGCGGCUACGCUCUCACGUGCCGGCCGAGGACACGGAAGUGUGGCCGUUAAUGACCAUUGGAUACGGAUUUAAUAAAAUGAAGAUAUUUAUUUAUAAUAUUGGACGAAUAUGGUGACUUGGAAGUCGGAACCGGUCGGGAAACCAAAAUCUUCCUCAACAGAACGAGUAUUCUUUGCCAACUGUUGGGUGACUCGUAAGUGCACGACCGUAAUUAAUAAAGUGGCCCUGGAGAUUUCAGGUCCACAAAUUUAUAAAUCUUGAUAAUUAAAAUAAAAUUAUUAUUUAAAAAUGUCUAUGUCUGAUGGUAUAAAAGAAAGAGAGUGAUUUUAGUCGUGUGAUGAAUUGCGAAUUAUUCUUUUUAAUUAUUUUGUUUAUUAAUUUAUUAUUUUGAUUGAUUUCUUUUUAAAUAUUGUUAUUUGGAUGUGCGUAUGUUUGUGUGUCUAUUUGUCAUUUUAUUUUCUAUACUUGUAUAAAUCCCUGACGUCAGGCCUAUUUGAAUUAAACUUUUGACGGAAAUACACAUUUUAUUUCUUUUUGUAAA